UUCUCUCCAUGUUCUUUCUGCUAUGCCAUGACCAAACGUACAUGAAGAUUAUACUGCAAGGGAUAGAGAGAUCACAUGAUGAAAGCUUCUGAAUUCCUGAAUCACCACAACGAGGAAAGUUAUCAGCUGACCAGAAACACAUGCCUUGGACUAUUAUGUGUACUGGAGGAGAAAGUGAUGCAUUUCAUCAUGAAACUAAAUAUCUACUUGACCCAGAAACUGAAAAGUUGAAGGCGGGCAUCCAAUAGCGGUCGUUGAUCUACAGCCCUAUAUCAACCAGGUGGGAUAACAGGUGACCGACGCCAUACUCGAGCUUCAAAAGUACCUGUGUACUACUCUCAGCCGUCUGAAUCUAAAUACAAAAGGCCAGAAUUCAGAGGAUAGCAGGGCACUUUGCAGGAGAAGAGCAGAGGGAAACAGCCUGGCCUUUUCUAAGUAUGAAGAAUUGGAGGGUGUCUUUGAAAGUAGAUAAAGAGGCAGAAAAUGCUGAGAACUCAGGAAUUUACAGCAAUGGAGAAUUUGUCUGAAGUAGUUCGUGAGACAGAGUCAAGAUCUGGGUUCAUUACUGCUAUUCAUUUACCACUACAGAGGGCUCAAUGCAUAAUAACAGGAGAAUAUUACAUAUUGCAAGUUCUGGCAACAAUAUUUCCAAGACUGAUCACUGCACCUUCCCUUGAAUGAUGGAUACUACUACCCUCUGUCAUUGAUUGCAUCACAAUCCUGUGUUUUUACAAUACAGUUUAUUUGGUUCUAUC
rnacentral:lncRNA from 1 species